AGCAGCCGCGGUAAUUCCAGCUCCAAUAGCGUAUAUUAAAGUUGUUGCAGUUAAAAAGCUCGUAGUUGAAUUUCGGGGUUAGUAGGUUGGUCAUGCCUCUGGUAUGUACUGGUCUCACUGAUUCCUCCCUCCUGAUGAACCUUAAUGCCAUUAAUUUGGUGUUUUGGGGAAUUUGGACUGUUACUUUGAAAAAAUUAGAGUGUUUAAAGCAAGCUAACGCUUGAAUACAUUAGCAUGGAAUAAUGAAAUAGGACGUUCGAUCCUAUUUUGUUGGUUUCUAGGAUUGACGUAAUGAUUAAUAGGGAUAGUUGGGGGCAUUAGUAUUCAAUUGUCAGAGGUGAAAUUCUUGGAUUUAUUGAAGACUAACUACUGCGAAAGCAUUUGCCAAGGAUGUUUUCAUUAAUCAAGAACGAAAGUUAGGGGAUCGAAGACGAUCAGAUACCGUCGUAGUCUUAACCAUAAACUAUGCCGACUAGGGAUCGGAUGAUGUUAAUUUUUUAAUGACUCAUUCGGCGCCUUACG
rnacentral:rRNA from 1 species